rnacentral:tRNA from 1 species
GCACUCGUAGCUCAGCUGGAUAGAGCAACCGCCUUCUAAGCGGUAGGUCAGAGGUUCGAAUCCUCUCGAGUGCGCCA